rnacentral:tRNA from 1 species
GCAGUGGUGGUUCAGUGGUAGAAUUCCCGCCUUUUGUGUGGGAGACCAGAGUUUGAUUCCUAGCGAAUGUA